ACUGGUAACGCCUCUCGAGGCUACAAGUCAACAGCUCGGAAAGAGCAGUUGAUUUCCACUUUGAGCUGAUCCCGGUUCACUCGCCGUUACUAAGGGAAUCAUAGUUAUUUUCUUCUCCUCCGCUUAAUAAUAUGCUUAAGUUCAGCGGGUAACCUCGCCUGAUUUCAGGUCUG